rnacentral:rRNA from 1 species
UACGGAGGGUGCGAGCGUUGUCCGGAAUCAUUGGGCGUAAAGGGCGCGUAGGUGGCCCGGUCAGUCUUUGGUGAAAGCGCGGGGCUCAACCCUGCGUCGGCCAGGGAUACUGCCGCGGCUCGAGCACUGUAGGGGCAGGCGGAAUUCCGGGUGUAGCGGUGGAAUGCGUAGAGAUCCGGAAGAACACCGGUGGCGAAGGCGGCCUGCUGGGCAGUUUGGCUGACACUGAGGCGCGACAGCGUGGGGAGCAAACAGG